rnacentral:rRNA from 1 species
AUUAAGGGCGUAUGGGGGAUGUCUUGGCAUCAGAUGGCGAUGAAGGGCGUGGAAGACUGCGAUAAUCUUGGGGAAGUUGUCAAACGAGCGUUGAUCCCGAGGUUCCUGAAUUAUCAUAUACUGAAUACAUAGGUAUAUGAGGCACACGCGGUGAACUGAAACAUCUCAGUAACCGCAGGAAAGGAAAGCAACAGCGACUUCGUGAGUAGCGGCGAGCGAAAGCGAAUCUAGCCUAAACCGUCUUGCUUCGGCAUGGCGGGGUUGUGGGGCUUGUCAUUGUGGAGUUACAAAACUGUUUGCUAGAAGAAUUCGUUGGAAAGCGAAACCAUAGAGGGUGACAGUCCCGUAUUUGAAAGUGAACAGACUUCCGACAGGUACCCGAGUAGGUCCGGCCACGUGGAAUCCGGACUGAAUCUGGGAGGUCCAUCUCCUAAGGCUAAGUAUUCUCUGAUGACCGAUAGUGAAAAGUAGGGUGACCGAAAGAUGAAAAGAACCCCUGUUAGGGGAGGGAAAGAACCUGAAACCAUACGCUUACAAGCUGUCGGAGCACUAUUAUCUUCGGAUAAGUGUGACGGCGUGCCUUUUGCAUAAUGAUCCGGCGAGUUACCGUCAAUGGCUCGAUUAAGGCCUUCCGGGCCGAAGUCUCAGCGAAAGCGAGUCUGAAUAGGGCGUUUUGUCAGUGGCGGUAGACGCGAAACCAGGUGAACUACCCAUGAGCAGGUUGAAGCGCGGGUAAGACUGCGUGGAGGACCGAACCCACCUAGGUUGAAAACUGGGGGGAUGACUUGUGGGGAGGAGUAAAAGUCUAAUCAAACCUGGAGAUAGCUCGUUCUCUCCGAAAUAGCUUUAGGGCUAGCCUUGAGCCACUACGUAAUGGGGGUAGAGCACUGAUUUGGACUGGGGGGCUUCCCGCCUACCCACCCUAGUUAAACUCCGAAUACCAUUACGAUUAUCUCAGGAGUCAGUCCACGAGGGAGAAGCUUCGUGGUCGAGAGGGAAACAACCCAGAUCGCCUGCUAAGGUCCCAAAGUCUUGCUAAGUCACUAAGGAUGUUAAGAUACUGUGACAGCCAGGAUGUUGGCUUAGAAGCAGCCAUCAUUUAAAAAGUGCGUAAUAGCUUACUGGUCGAGUGUUUUAGCACCGAUAAUGAACGGGAGUAAGUAAGACACCGAAGCAGCGGAUUCAGCUUAUGCUGAGUGGUAGGAGAGCGUUCCAGUGCAGAUACUAGCCGUACCGUAAGGAGCGGUGUUGGGCACUGGAAGUGAUUAUGCCGGAAUGAGUAACGAUAAAACAGGUGAGAAUCCUGUUCGCCGCAAACCUAAGGUUUCCUGGGGAAGGUAAUUCCGCCCAGGGUUAGCCGGUACCUUAGUUGAGGCCGAAAGGCGUAGACGAUGGAGAGCAGGUUAAUAUUCCUGCGCCGGAUAUGUGGACCGAUGGGGGGACGUUGUGUAGAUUGUGAUCGGGCUGACAGAAAUGCCCGUAGGGGAAGACAAGGCUGUGGAUAGGAAAAUCCGCCACAUCAAGCCAAGGCUUUCACUCGAGUCCAAUGAUGACGAAGUCAUAUGACGCAUAACCAAGAAAAGCCUCUAAGGAUUGAAGCAUAUCUGACCGUACUAAAACUGACACAGGUAGGUGAGGCGCGUAGCCUAAGGCGCUCGGGAAAACGCUGGUUAAGGAACUCUGCAAAAUGACCCCGUAAGUUCGCGAUAAGGGGUGCCUCCGAUGGUUCACGCUAUUGGAGGUCACAGUAAAUCGGCUCUGGCGACUGUUUACUAAAAACACAGGACUCUGCGAACUCGUAAGAGGAUGUAUAGAGUCUGACUCCUGCUCGGUGCCGGUAAGUUAAGGAAGAGGGUUAGCCUUUGGGCGAAGCUCGCAACCGAAGCUCCGGUAAACGGCGGCCGUAACUAUGACGGUCCUAAG